rnacentral:rRNA from 1 species
UAUAAUUUAAAGUAGGGCCUGCCCACUGAGUAUUUGAAGGGCCGCAGUAUUUUGACUGUGCAAAGGUAGCAUAAUCAUUAGUUUUUUAAUUGAAAGCUUGUAUGAAUGGUUUGAUGAGAAAAUAACUUUCUAUGUUUAAAUUUUUAAAAAUUUUAUUUUUAAGUUAAAAAGCUUAAAUUUUUAUAAUAGACGAGAAGACCCUAUAGAGUUUAAUUUUUGUAAAUUUUUAAAUUUUUAGAAUUUUAUAAUUAAAAUUUUUAUAAUAAUUUGAUUGGGGUGAUUAAAAAAUUAAAUUAACUUUUUUUAUAUUUAAACAUAAAUUUAUG